AUUAGUAUAAUAAUAUAAUUAAUUUUUAUGAAUUCAACAAAUUUUAGUUUCAGCUGUUUAACAAAAACAUUUUUAUUAGUUUAAUUAAUAAUAAUUUCUGCUCAGUGAAAAUUAAAUUGCUAAAGUAUAUUGACUUUACUAAGGUAUUGAAAUAAGACUUUAAUUGGGUGCUAAGAGAAUGGUUAAAUUGGAACAAAAUUAUAUAAUUUUAAUAAUAAAAUUUCAUUUAAAAAUGAAAAAGUUUUUAUAGUUUUAUGGGACGAGAAGACCCUGUGAAUUUUUUUUUUAUUUUUUAUAAUAUUUUUAUAAUAAGUAAAUUUGAUUGGGGCGAUAGAAAAAUAAUGAAUAACUUUAUUUUAAUGAUUUUUUUGAAGGUUGAUUGUAAAAUACUCUAGGGAUAACAGCGUUAUUAUUAUGGAUAGUUCAUAUUGAUAUAAUAGUUUGCGACCUCGAUGUUGAAUUAAUAUUUCAUUUUGGAGCAGAUUUUAAUUAAAUGAAAGAUUGCUCAUCUUUUAAAGUAUUACAUGAUUUGAGUUCAGACCGGCGUGAGCCAGGUCAGUUUCUAUCUAUAAAUUAGAAUUAAUUUUUAUUAGUACGAAAGGAUUAUAAAAAUAUAAUAUUUAUGUAAUUUUAUAGAAUUAGAUAUUACAUGUCUUAAAUUCCGUGAG
rnacentral:rRNA from 1 species